ensembl:snoRNA SNORA71 Small nucleolar RNA SNORA71
GUCUGCAUUAGAAAGUGAUCAUCAGCUGCCUGAGUCUUGGUCAUCAAUAGCACAGGGAGGGGAACUGCACAGAGCACUUCUGUGUUUGGAGGGUCCAUCUCCAUCCUUGGAAACCCUGGUGCUUUUUUCACA